rnacentral:rRNA from 2 species
UACAGAGGUCCCGAGCGUUGUUCGGAUUCAUUGGGCGUAAAGGGUGCGUAGGCGGCUUUCUAAGUCUGAUGUGAAAUCCUGGGGCUCAACCCUGGAACUGCAUUGGAUACUGGGAGGCUAGAGUACUGGAGAGGAAACUGGAAUUUACGGUGUAGCAGUGAAAUGCGUAGAGAUCGUAAGGAAGACCAGUGGCGAAGGCGAGUUUCUGGACAGUUACUGACGCUGAGGCACGAAGGCCAGGGGAGCAAACGGG